GGGGAAUCCACAUUGGCGAGCGUA
rnacentral:siRNA from 1 species